AAUAGGCGAUGACACUCGUUGAUAACAGCCGACCACCGACAUAGCAUUCCUGAAACGCUGUGGUCGCUUAUAUACAUAUAGUUGCUCCCUUAUGGAUAUCUGCUUUUGAAUAGUUCUAUAAUUAUUACAAUAAAAUAUUGUGGUCGCGCCUAUACGUGAUAAAUGUCAAUGUUGAAUAUAUCGUGACCGUCAUGCAAAAUGUGUAAAAAGUGUAAAAACACAUGUUCAAAUGCCUAAUUUUA